GGACUACAAGGGUUUCUAAUCCUGUUUGAUCCCCACGCUUUCGUGCCUCAGCGUCAAUAACUGCUUAGUAAGCUGCCUUCGCAAUCGGUGUUCUAUAUCAUAUCUAUGCAUUUCACCGCUACAUGAUAUAUUCCGCCUACCUCAACAGUAUUCAAGAUAGAUAGUAUCAAUGGCAGUUUCCAAGUUGAGCUCGGAGAUUUCACCACUGACUUAACUACCCGCCUACACACCCUUUAAACCCAGUGAAUCCGGAUAACGCUUGCACCCUCCGUAUUACCGCGGCUGCUGGCAC
rnacentral:rRNA from 1 species